UGGGCACGCCACUAUCAGUUUUUUUUUUGUUGGUAGGCAGGACUCUUGAUACAGCAGAGGGAAAGCCCGGAUCAUUGCGACAAACAGCUGAAGAGAUUGGCCAGGACUCACCUGGCAAGUGCAUCCCUGUAAAAUGUGACCAUGGAAGUGAUGAGGAAGUCAAAGAGCUGUUUGAUAAA